AGCAGCCGCGGUAAUUCCAGCCCCAAUAGCGUAUAUUAAAGUUGUUGCAGUUAAAAAGCUCAUAGUUGAAUUUCGGAAUCAAUAUGCUGGUCGUGCCAUUGGUACGUACUAGUAUUAUUGGUUUCUCCCUUCUGAUGAAUCAUGAUGUCAUUAAUUUGAUGUCAUGGGGAAUCAGGACUGUUACUUUGAAAAAUUAGAGUGUUUAAAGCAGGCUCGCGCUUGAAUACAUUAGCAUGGAAUAAUGAAAUAGGACGUUUGAUUCUAUUUGUUGGUUUCUAGGAUUGACGUAAUGAUUAAUAGGGAUAGUUGGGGGCAUUAGUAUUCAAUUGUCAGAGGUGAAAUUCUUGGAUUUAUUGAAGACUAACUACUGCGAAAGCAUUUGCCAAGGAUGUUUUCAUUAAUCAAGAACGAAAGUUAGGGGAUCGAAGACGAUCAGAUACCGUCGUAGUCU
rnacentral:misc_RNA from 1 species